rnacentral:rRNA from 1 species
UACGUAGGGGGCAAGCGUUGUCCGGAAUCAUUGGGCGUAAAGAGCGUGUAGGCGGCCCGAUAAGUCCGCUGUGAAAGUCCAGGGCUCAACCCUGGGAUGCCGGUGGAUACUGUCGGGCUCGAGUCCGGAAGAGGAGUGUGGAAUUCCGUGGUGUAGCGGUGAAAUGCGCAGAUAUCAGGAGGAACACCAAUGGCGAAGGCAGCACCUCUGGGACGUGACUGACGCUGAGACGCGAAAGCGUGGGGAGCAAACAAGG